CUCUACAUGGUACUGCCCCCACUGCAGAUGGAAUUCAACAUAAAAACUAUCUUGGGCUCCACCAAAGACAUCACUGAAGCACCAAAAGGCCUCCAGGAUGUAGCAUCUCAGGAUAUACUGAGGGUUAUAGUGUAUUCUGCAGAAUUGGGUUUGAAAAAUGAAGAAGGUAGAUGGAGGUUAGAGUAAAUUUCUCUCCUACUGAAGGUUUCUUGAACCCGUGGCCAUCAGCCCAUUCACUGAAUGCUGCAUGUCCUUGAAGCACUGUUGACUUGCUUCUUGCUGCAUGAGGACUCAUCAGAGAAAUACUGCUUCACGACAUCCCGAGACUCUGGCCCCCAAACUUCAGGGUCCAAGCUCGUGGGAAAGACGAUGCAUUUUGCUAGAGGAGAAGGUUACCUGGGCCUGGAACCCAAACACGUUCCCAGAAGUCCUUUGACAUCUCCCUACCAAAUCCAUGGUCACCGUAUUGCAAAAUGAUGGUGCUCACAUUCAUAUUCUCACUGUGGAUCUCACACUUUUUUCAUUGUGCUGACUUCCUUUGCUGUGGUGGAGCUUUGCAUGGUCUGGGAGGAUAAGGGACUCAGCAUUUUAGCAUCAGUUAGUAGAGACUCUUCCUCCUUGCCUUCAGUUCAUCAAAUCACUAACCAACGAGCAGCAUCACACGGAGAGCCCCAAGCAAAGGUCUCAGGUGGCAGUCCGUGGGAUGUUCUAGCUUUGGUGUUCCUGAGAGUUUGCAAUUAGUUUAUAUCCUUUGCCUUGAUGACCAGAGGGUCCAAAAUCAUAACUUCAGAGUGCAAUGAAAGAAAAUAAUAUUUUAUCCAACGACUGCAGUAAAUCCAGUCUCAAAUUUAUUCCACUGAUUAUUCUUCAAACCAGAAAAGAUGCGUGUCAACAUAGAAAUGGUCUGUUAAUGGGGAACCAACUCCAUGACUGCAUACUCUUGAUUCUCAGUCACGGAAGCCAGUUUCCUAUUUGUGGGACAAGGAUGUCUCGCACAAAGCUCUCUCCUGUAAGAUAAUAGCAGCUAAUACCUUAGUACCUACAACUGGAAGGCUUGGUAUGAAAGUUUCCAUGUCUCUUAGAUGAGGGGCAGCGUGUGGUCUCCACGAUGGGAUCCAGUUCUUUCUGCCCAUUCGUGGAGUGACUUGGAGAACAGGAAGCUGGUUUGCUGAAGGACCACUGGGCAGAGAGCCAACUGCAGGUGCUGAUGCCCAGAGGGUCAGUGCAAGAUGUGAGUUGAAGUUGGUAGAGGCAUGACAGCUUGGAUCCCUGAAUGACCGUGUGGAGCGGAGGUUUCCGCUGCCCCUCAACACAAGCUCUACACUGUGCACGGAAGUGACCAUGUCUGAGCCACCACGUUGGAUCUGUUUGUAGAUGCAGCUUACUCUACCUUGACGCACUACCUCUGUGCACUCAGAUGGGGUUAUACUGUGAUAAUCACACUUACAUGCCCGUGGACGUUGAAGCCCUUGGAAACAUCUGCGCACGUGUGUGCAUCUCAGUCUUGCACACAUUCAAACAGCUCUUGGGAAGUGCCAGAAGUCCCCCCACAAUCCAUCACUUUGUGUGCACAGAGGAGAUGCCCAGCUGAAGACAGGCAGAGAUGUGUGUGCCAGGGCCAUAUUUCUCCUGUGAAGAACAGAAGCCCCCUUUCUGACCUAGACCCAGAAGGUAAGCACUGCCAUCUGCUUUUUCCCUUUCAGUAGAGCGUGUCUCACGUUUGAGUGGGCACUGUGUGCAUCAUCUCUUCUUAAUUCUAGAGGCAGUGACAAUUCUGUGGAGGAGAGCUACUUUCCCAAGACUCUUCAGGUCGCCUAAUUCCACAUACCUAGGAAGGCA